CCUACGGGUGGCAGCAGUGGGGAAUAUUGCUCAAUGGGGGAAACCCUGAAGCAGCAACGCCGCGUGGAGGAUGAAGGUUUUCGGAUUGUAAACCUCUUUUGUUAGAGAAGAUAAUGGCGGUAUCUUACGAAUAAGGACACGCCAACUUCGUGCCAGCCGCCCCGGUAAUACGGAAGGUGCCAGGGUUAUUCGGAAUUACUGGGCGUAAAGGGCGGGUAGGCGGGUUAACAAGUCAGAUGUGAAAUUCUAAGGCUUAACCGUAAAAUUGCAUUUGAAACUGUUAUACUAGAGUAGAGGAGAGGUAGGUGGAAUUCUUGGUGUAGCGGUAAAAUGCGUAGAGAUCAAGAAGAACACUCAUUGCGAAGGCGACUUACUAGACUGUAACUGACGCUGAUGCGCGAAAGCGUGGGGAGCAAACAGGAUUAGAUACCCGUGUAGUC
rnacentral:rRNA from 1 species